rnacentral:rRNA from 1 species
UACAGAGGUCUCAAGCGUUUGUUCGGAUUCAUUGGGCGUAAAGGGUGUGUAGGUGGCGCCGUAAGUCGGGGUGUGAAAUUUCGGAGCUUAACUCCGAAACUGCAUUCGAUACUGCGGUGCUUGAGGACUGGAGAGGAGACUGGAAUUCAUGGUGUAGCAGUGAAAUGCGUAGAGAUCAUGAGGAAGACCAGUGGCGAAGGCGGGUCUCUGGACAGUUCCUGACACUGAGACACGAAGGCCAGGGGAGCAAACGGG